rnacentral:rRNA from 1 species
AGAUUGAACGCUGGCGGCAGGCCUAACACAUGCAAGUCGAGCGGUAGAGAGGUGCUUGCAUCUCUUGAGAGCGGCGGACGGGUGAGUAAUGCCUAGGAAUCUGCCUAGUGGUGGGGGAUAACGUUCGGAAACGGACGCUAAUACCGCAUACGUCCUACGGGAGAAAGUGGGGGACCUUCGGGCCUCGCGCCAUUAGAUGAGCCUAGGUCGGAUUAGCUAGUUGGUGAGGUAAUGGCCCACCGAAGGCGACGAUCCGUAACUGGUCUGAGAGGAUGAUCAGUCACACUGGAACUGAGACACGGUCCAGACCUCCGUACGGGAGCAGCAGGUGGGAAUAGUUGGAACAAGUGGGACGAAAGCCUAGACUCCAGCCAGUGACCGCGUGUGUAGAAGUAAGGUCUUCGG